GAGUUUCACACCAACUGGUAAUUUCAGCCCAUAUGAGCAAGCCCAAAAAUAAAUGAUACUGUAUAUGUUUUUAAUUCAAAAUACUCAUUGUUAAUAAUAAGUUCACAGGUCAAUCUGUGCACCGGUAGUGUAUUAAGACACAGUAUAGCUGCAUAACCUAGAAUAUAGAUUCAUUAUUUGGCCAUCAGGAAAAAAGGUCUGAAUGCCUUACCAGCAGCUGCCUGACAGAUCAAAGUAGACAGAAUGAGCUUACUCCUGCGAUUACAACAUGACUCAGUAUGCCUUUACUUAACUGCCUAAUCUCUGUGGAUUACCUGACCUUGCUUGAGCCCUGAGGUAGAAGAUGAUGUUCACUGAAGAGAGAAAGUAAGGAGAGACGGACUAGAAAGAGGGAGACGGAUGGGGACGGCAAAAAGUAAAAGAAUUUAAGGAACAAACUGGACUUUUUACAGACGUCUACGGAGGACAACCAAGAGGACAGUGCACCCUGGAGAACACCAACCACUGCCUUCAACUCAAGUCUCAGAAAACCACAAGGCUGGUGAUAAAUUUGACUCUGGAGCCGGUGAACAUGUCUCACGAUCAGUGUGAAUCAGUGGCAGUGAGUGUGGAGUCCCUCCUGAAAGAUGCCAAGAGGAUGCAGCUGCAGUGCCGUGAACGCAGCGAGCAGCUCUCCAUGGCCGCCACGCAGCUCAGGGUGGAGUCGGCCACCCUGAGGGAGCAGUGCGAGGCCUCCCAACUCGACAUGGCCCGCAUCCGACGGCAGCUGGAGGAGCUGAUGGAUACCAAAUCCGCCUUCGAAGCCAGGGAGAGGCAGGCGCGUAAACUCAGCAAGCAGCUGUGAGGAAAUGAUUGAAACCAUCUGAUUGGCACCCAGGAGAGAGGGGGUCAAGAAGAAGGGGUUAAUCUUUAGAGACUCUGCAGGGGAGAAAAAUAAAUGGGUGAGGGAGGAAAGUAAGAGAUGGGAAAGAAAGUCAAGAGAAAGAGCAAAGGAAUAAUAUGCGACUUAAAAUGUGUCCUUUUAAGUUGGUGUCAACUUGAGCAGAACCUAGAAUAGAGUUUAGGACAGAAUAUUGCUUAGGACAUUUUGGUAAAAUUGACAAUUUUGAAGAAAAAAAUGUGUGGUUUGUCAGAGAAGUUGAGGGAAGAAAGCACUUUAUCAGUAUUGACAGCUCUAUCUCGGCCACAAAAAUUUUAUCCCCCUCCUCUUUCCCACUUUUUAUGUCAAAUAAACACCGUCCAAAUACA